AUAUUAUCAGGAACUGUGUUUUCUAUAAUGU
rfam:Eurypyga helias contig44480, whole genome shotgun sequence.